CCAACGAAGAAGAGGAGGCGACGGCGAUGAAAACAAAACGACGAGAUCUGCCUCAAAAUUGUCGUAACUGAAGCUAUUUUUGUUGUUGUUGCCUUAUUUAAACCCAUUCUGCCUAAAUUCACACUGACGCUGCAUUACAGCCACGUAAACUAACUAGCUAGCUCACUGUAACCGGCGCCAAGCGUUUUAUUUAGAAUACAUAAAUCAUUAGCUAGCCACGAGCUAACGUUACUUAGCGUAGCUUCUGUUUGGAUUUCUGACGUACGUUUAGUUUUGGAGACGUUUAGCGGCGCGACUUCAGUUCAGAAGUAGUUACUGAAAAAAACAAAACAUGUCGGAUGAUUAUGAAUUCAGCGAUGACACGACCAUGAUGAGAAUGGAGGAGGAUGGGGAGGCGAACAGCGACGACCCGAUGUCAGCGGCCGGGGACUGUGGCCUGAUGGGGGGCGAGGCCGAGGGCUCCAGGAUCGACGCCAGUAAAAACGAGGAGGAUGAAGGGAAGAUGUUUGUUGGAGGGCUCAGCUGGGACACGACUAAGAAGGACCUGAAAGAUUACUUUUCAAAGUUUGGGGAGGUUGUGGAUUGCACGUUAAAACUGGACCCCAUGACUGGACGUUCAAGGGGCUUCGGCUUCGUGCUCUUCAAAGAACCUGAAAGUGUUGACAAGGUUGCCUCACAGAAGGAACAUAAACUCAACGGGAAGGUCAUCGAUCCCAAAAAAGCCAAGGCCAUGAAGAGUAAGGAGCCUGUAAAGAAGAUCUUUGUCGGCGGUCUUUCUCCAGACACACCUGAGGAGAAAGUCCGAGAGUAUUUUGGUGCCUUUGGAGAGGUAGAGUCCAUUGAGCUUCCCAUGGAGAACAAAACAAACAAACGGAGAGGCUUUUGCUUCAUCACAUUUAAAGAAGAGGAGCCAGUUAAGAAGAUCAUGGAGAAAAAGUACCACAACAUCGGACUGAGCAAGUGUGAAAUAAAGGUGGCGAUGUCCAAGGAGCAGUACCAGCAGCAGCAGUACUGGGGAGGCAGAGGUGGAUACUCAUCCAGGUCUCGAGGACGAGGUGGUGGCCCCAACCAAAAUUGGAACCAGGGUUAUGGCAACUACUGGAAUCAAGGCUAUGGAAAUUAUGGCAAUUAUGGUUACAAUAAUCAAGGAUAUGGAGGCUACGGAGGCUAUGAUUACUCUGGUUACAACAACUAUUAUGGAUAUGGUGACUACAACAAUCAGUCGGGUGGAUACGGCAAGUCGCCACGGCGUGGUGGUCACACCAACAGUUACAAGCCGUAUUAACGGGGGAAAACCCUCAUCUUCAAGUAGCGGAGCUUCCUUGCAGGCCAUGAGCUGACUCCCAGAUACUCUCAGGGCCCGCUCAAUGCGGACCGGGUACGAGAAGCAUACGCUCUCGAAUGCUGCCAUUUGGUGUCAGAGUGAUGAAAGUCUGCUGUGCGCUGGUGGAGCGUUGGCCAGAGAGAUGGUGGUAUCCAGCAAAGAUCACUUAGCUGAUUGUAAGAAAAUAAAAGGAGAGCACUAUGACCUACAGUUCAUUUCCUCUAUAUUUACCAGAGUAUUUCAGUGUUUUUGCAUUUGUUUAGACUGCUGCGGCAACGUUUUAUUAGCAGUUCCUCAUCCGUUCUUUUUUUGUAUUUAAUGUUCUCAAACUGCUACUUGUGAAUUGCUUCAUUUAUUCCAUAACUGAAAUGUAAUAUUGUUUGGAACAGAUCACACAUAUAUAUACAGUACUGUGGUAGCAAAGAUACAAAAUGAGUUGUCACCAUUUAUCCUCUUUAUCAUAGUCAUCAGUCAUAAAAUACAUUUUGUUAUUACAUUGUUUGACGGUCAUAAACAUACAGCAUAUAUAUAUAUACAGUGUAUUCGACAUUAAAAAAAAUGAAACAAAUAAAAUAAUAAACACUCA